UGGGUUGUGGCUCAGUGGCAGAGCACUUGCCUCCCAUGCAUGAAGUCUGGGCUUGAUCCUCAGCACCACAU
rfam:Ictidomys tridecemlineatus contig087990, whole genome shotgun sequence.